rnacentral:rRNA from 1 species
GACGAACGCUGGCGGCGUGCCUAAUACAUGCAAGUCGAGCGGACGAAUCGAAAGCUUGCUUUUGAUUCGUUAGCGGCGGACGGGUGAGUAACACGUUGGCAACCUGCCCUGUAGACGGGGAUAACACCGAGAAAUCGGUGCUAAUACCGGAUAACACGAACUUUCGCAUGACGUUUCGUUGAAAGACGGCGCAAGCUGCCGCUACAGGAUGGGCCCGCGGCGCAUUAGCUAGUUGGUGAGGUAACGGCUCACCAAGGCGACGAUACGUAGCCGACCUGCGAGGGUGAUCGGACACACUGGGACUGAGACACGGACCAGACUCCUACGGGAGGCGGCAGUAGGGAAUCUUCCGCAAAGGACGAAAGUCUGACGGAGCAACGCCGCGUGAGAGAAGAAGGCCUUCGGGUCGUAAAGCUCUGUUGUUAGGGAAGAACAAGUAACGCAGUAACUGGCGUUACCGUGACGGUACCUAACGAGAAAGCCACGGCUAACUACGUG